AUGCGGUCGUUUGAAGUUUUGUUGGCCGAAGUAAUGGUGCAAGAUUUGGAUGGUUUAAAGGUUUUUGGAAGCAACAAAAGCAUAGCAAUAGCAGCAUUUUGGACAAUGACAAGUUUUUUGGCAGAAUUGCAGCAGGGGAAGCAGCAUGACCUUGAAGGUUUUGGGCAGCAUUGCAGCAGGGGCAGUAACAUGACCUUGCAUGCUUUGGGCAACAUUGCAGCAGAGAUGAUUUUGGUGAAGAGUUGA